rnacentral:precursor_RNA from 1 species
GGACAGUGCGUCCAUACGAGAGUGGCUUCCAACCCGAGCAGCAAGCUUCCCGCCAUUGUAGUGGCUGACGAUAGGAGAAGAAGCUGUCUUUCCAUGCCAGAGUUUCCACACCUGGGAUCGAUCUAGAGAGGCAAGUAUGCCAAGUAUCAUUGUCAUGACGGUGGAGAUUACCAAGACGCUCUAGGGCUGUGUGAUAGCUCGGAUCUGUCCGCCUCACCACCAAUCUUGCGUCCAGCUGACGAGAGAUGUUUAGCGGGUAGAACACGUUACAGCAUCUGGAGUCGACCCGCAACGCCGCACCUGCUGUUGCUACUAGCGUGACCAUAGGUUGACAUAGACGUGGUAGCCUGGGCUAGGAUAGGUUAUCUUUAAGACAGGCUCAAGGGCAGCUUGCUAUUGCUUUAAAGAAGACAUUAUGAGAUCAUGGAAUAUGUCCUUUGAGAGAGGUCAGGAUAGAUUACAUAGGGGUGUGUAGAUUGAUAGUUUUGUAAGUGAAACCAACUAGUGAUUAUUGAUGGGGAACUCGAGAAAGGUGAUUCAGAGUUGAAAUUUGACUCAGAUUUGAAUUUAGCAUGUUCAUUUUAAUUUAGAAUAUUUCUUGGAGUAACAAGAAAUUAGAUUUAUUCUUUCAGUAAGAAGAUCUUUGGAUGUCACAGUUUGGUGCGAUUCCUUUGAUUUAUUUUUCAUCUUGUAAUUUUAUUUUUGAACUUUGUUACACAAAGUUUUAAAAAACUUACAUUUGAAUUUGAAUUAUAGGUGCCGUGCCAAGCUGUGUGCAUCCAAAGAACUACGGACUAGACUAUGGAUACCCAAGAAUACAUUGAAUUCGAACAAAAAUAUGAACUAGUGACUACAAUCCAAAAUUGCUAUACACUCUGAAGUUAUCUAUAUUAUGGAGAGCUUGAGUCUCAUUUCAUUAUUAUGAAUGAAAGUUGUUUACUUUUUAUAUUCAGCAAAUUUACAUCCCAGGUUUCAUUCUUUAU